rnacentral:piRNA from 1 species
UGAAGCCAUACUAUGUAGAUACUACUG